GGACCGGUAGCUCAGCUGGAUAGAGCAUCCGCCUUCUAAGCGGACGGUCGUGGGUUCGAAUCCCACCCGGUUCA
rnacentral:tRNA from 2 species